UACGUAGGUGGCAAGCGUUGUCCGGAAUUACUGGGCGUAAAGAGCGCGUAGGCGGGGAUUUAAGUCAGGAGUGAAAACUGGCGGCUCAACUGCCAGCCUGCUCUUGAAACUGGAUCUCUUGAGGGUAUGAGAGGAAAGCGGAAUUCCCAGUGUAGCGGUGAAAUGCGUAGAGAUGUGGAGGAACACCGAUGGCGAAGGCAGCCCCU
rnacentral:rRNA from 1 species